UACAGAGGUCCCGAGCGUUGUUCGGAUUCAUUGGGCGUAAAGGGUGCGUAGGCGGCGGGGCAAGUCUGAUGUGAAAUCCUGGGGCUCAACCCCAGAACUGCAUUGGAUACUGCCUUGCUAGAGUACUGGAGUAGGGAACUGGAAUUUACGGUGUAGCAGUGAAAUGCGUAGAGAUCGUAAGGAAGGCCAGUGGCGAAGGCGAGUUCCUGGACAGUUACUGACGCUGAGGCACGAAGGCCAGGGGAGCAAACGGG
rnacentral:rRNA from 1 species